rnacentral:rRNA from 1 species
UACGUAGGGGACAAGCGUUGUCCGGAAUCAUUGGGCGUAAAGAGCGUGUAGGCGGUUUGGUAGGUCCGCUGUGAAAACUCGAGGCUCAACCUCGAGACGCCGGUGGAAACCAUCAGACUAGAGUCCGGAAGAGGAGAGUGGAAUUCCUGGUGUAGCGGUGAAAUGCGCAGAUAUCAGGAAGAACACCCGUGGCUAAGGCGGCUCUCUAGUACGGUACUGACGCUGAGACGCGAAAGCGUGGGGAGCGAACAGG